AGACCUCUAUUGUAAAAAAUAAUAUCCGCAACAAGACCUUUCUUGUAAAAAGAAUCCGCAACACAAUCUCUGUUGCAAAAGUAUUCCGCAACAUAACCUCCGUUGCACAAAAAUCCGGCAACACAACCUCUGUUGUACAAAAAUCCCGCAACACAACCUCUAUUACAAAUGUUUCUGCAACAAGGUCUUUGUUGCAAAGUAGAGAUAAGGCGUUGACCCCACUAGAUCUAUGUCAGAUCCCACGGCUUGCGAGGCGACGGCGGCGGAUGCGUAGCAGCCCCCAUUCUUUAUACACUACACUUUUUGGCAAACGAAUUAAACUUCUUUAUUCAGAAUUCGAUCUGACUGAGAGAGUGAGUGGUCUCUUCACUGGGCCUGGCCAAAGGCCCAACAGUGUUUUGAGGGAGGCCGAAGGCAACGGUGUUUUGAGGGAGGCCGAAGGCCCAACUUACUUUACUUACUUCUAUCUUCAUGCUUGUCAAUGUCUCGAAAAAAUAAAUCUUCAUGCUUUGGCUGCCGAUUGCUGCACCUCGCCGGCCCGCUUCGGCGCCGGCAGUGCCGCCGUCGCCCUCCCCCGCCACCGCGCGGCUUUGGAGCACCCCCUACCAAAACACGAGACCGUUCCGCCCGGCACCACCUCGCCGCCCACCACCGCCCCGCACGAGCGCCCAUUCCCCAACCCUCGUCGGGGCCGCCGGUCGACAGACCAACCACGGCUAGGAGUCUCUGGGAAAGCCAAGGCGAUCAACUUGGAAGAAGCACUUUGGUUGGUGCCAGUUCGCUGUCCUCGUGGUCGAUGGCCAACACUCUGUCUUCAUGGUUCAGCGGCACCUGUGACUGAUGCCGUCGGCUGUGUUACUGAGAUAUCCUAACAUCCGCCUCAAUGGCUCUGCUCUGUGCAGCCAUUGGAUACUUGUGUCUUAUCGUCUCUUUUCAAGUUAACCUGCAGACUCGGUUGUUUACCAGCAUGUAAACCGUCUCAGAAUUUGCAUCUAUCGAAGUUGUUGUGCUCUUGCAUUACGGCUAUUGUUUGGACUUUUGGAGGUUUUUCAAGGCUCACCACAUGACAUUCUGCGGUAUCUUAAGGUCUUCUUCAAGUCAAUGAACACCAUAUGAAGGCCCUUCUUUUGCUCUCUAUAUCUCUUCAUAAGUUGCCGUAUCAAGGAAUUGACUUACAUGGUCGACCGCUCAAUCAUGAAAUCAAAAUGAUUUUUUGUCACACUUGUCAUUCUUCUUAAACGGUGCUCAAUAACUCUCUCCCCCAGCUUCAUUGUAUGGCUCAUCAACUUAAUUGCAUGGUAAUUAGUACAAUUUUGAACCUUGUUCUUGAAGAUUGGUAUUAAUAUACUCAGCCAGAAAAAAAUAUGGUUGAAAAGUUUAGUA